rnacentral:rRNA from 1 species
GACGGAAGGUGCAAGCGUUGCUCGGAAUCACUGGGCGUAAAGGGUGCGUAGGCGGCCGCGCAAGUCUGGCGUGAAAGCCCCGGGCUCAGCCCGGGAAGGGCGCUCGAAACGGCGCGGCUCGAGUGCCGGAGGGGAGAGUGGAAUUCCUGGUGUAGAGGUGAAAUUCGUAGAUAUCGGGAGGAACACCGGUGGCGAAGGCGGCGACCUGGGUAGAUACUGACGCUGAGGUGCGAAAGCGUGGGGAGCAAACAGG